rnacentral:rRNA from 1 species
UACAGAGACUGCAAGCGUUAUUCGGAUUCACUGGGCGUAAAGGGUGCGCAGGCGGCCAAGUGUGUCAGGUGUGAAAUCCCGAGGCUUAACCUUGGAACUGCGCCUGAAACUACUUGGCUAGAGUACUGGAGAGGGUAACGGAAUUCACGGUGUAGCAGUGAAAUGCGUAGAUAUCGUGAGGAACACCAGAGGCGAAGGCGGUUACCUGGACAGUUACUGACGCUCAGGCACGAAAGCGUGGGGAGCAAAAGGG